UGACCUCAAAUCAGGUAGGACUACCCGCUGAACUUAAGCAUAUCAAUAAGCGGAGGAAAAGAAACUAACAAGGAUUCCCCUAGUAACUGCGAGUGAAGCGGGAAAAGCUCAAAUUUAAAAUCUGGCAGUCUUUGGCUGUCCGAGUUGUAAUCUAGAGAAGUGUUAUCCGCGCUGGACCGUGUACAAGUCUCCUGGAAUGGAGCGUCAUAGAGGGUGAGAAUCCCGUCUUUGACACGGACUACCAGGGCUUUGUGAUGCGCUCUCAAAGAGUCGAGUUGUUUGGGAAUGCAGCUCAAAAUGGGUGGUAAAUUCCAUCUAAAGCUAAAUAUUGGCGAGAGACCGAUAGCGAACAAGUACCGUGAGGGAAAGAUGAAAAGAACUUUGGAAAGAGAGUUAAACAGUACGUGAAAUUGCUGAAAGGGAAACGCUUGAAGUCAGUCGCGUUGUCCAGGGAUCAACCUUGCUUUUGCUUGGUGCACUUUCUGGUUGACGGGUCAGCAUCAAUUUUGACCAUUGGAAAAAGAUUAAGGGAAUGUGGCAUCCUUGGAUGUGUUAUAGCCCUUGGUUGCAUACAAUGGUUGGGAUUGAGGAACUCAGCACGCCGCAAGGCCGGGUUUUUAACCACGUACGUG
rnacentral:rRNA from 1 species